rnacentral:lncRNA from 1 species
CGUACGUUUCUAUUACACACACACUCUCUCUCUCUCUCUCUCUUAAUCUCUCAUCCAUCGAUCCUUCUCUCAUUCGUAAACCCAAAAAGCCGAAACGCCUCUUCAGAAGCUCAAUCAAUCGACCCCGUGCGAGAACGAUUAAUCCAUCUUCAAUACUCAAUAGUGAAUAUCGAUGGUAAUGAUGGAUUUGAAGAAGUUAAAUCGAUGUUAGGGUUUUUAUCGAUGAUUUGAUGAUCGAUUAUCACAUCCAUGGUUCGUCGUUAUUUCGAGUUCAAUCGAUUGUAUGUUUUUUCUUCUCAGACAUCUUCGAUCUUCAUCUUGCAGGUAGGAAUUUGAUCCAAAUUGUUGGGGAUUCGUGUAUGAUACUAUGUAACUGAAUGAGAGAAAAGAUUGGAUAGUGAAAGGAGGUAGAAGUGCAUUAAGAUGGGGCCAAUACAACAUAGACAUAAAAGAAUUUGCAGAACUGGAUAUAAAGAUUGGUCUCUGUUGCACAAGUGUGGAGACAAUGGUGGAGUCUAACUAUUAUAGACAGAAGGGCUCGAGUUUGAUUCGAGGUAAUAUCAACAAGCUCAAAUGUUUAGAAUGUGGAGUUGUUUAACAGGAUGUUUCAGAUCUAGAAUUCCACCAACCUAUGAUUUGUUAAUUUAGCCGAACUGGAGAUCCGAGUUUGACUCGAGGAGCUCAAUCGACCCUGUCCGACAACCUUCAAUCGAUCUUCAAGACGCAGUACUCUACCAUUGACGGCAAUGUUUGAUUUCGUUCAUCAUCUCUCUUUACUUUCAUGAAAUGAUCAGAACCUUUUCCUUACAUUUAUGCGGACUUGAUUUCAUCUUAGAACGUGUCAUUGAGAGCAACACAUGGUAGAGUGAGUUUAUUACAGGACGGUUCAGUUGUGGUUGAAGUCGGUGGUAUUGAGUUGGGUCAGGGUCUCUGGACCAAGGUUAAACAAAUGACUGCAUGUUGUGUAAGUGCGGUUCAGUGUGACGGAAACGAUGGGCUCUUGGAGAAGGUUCAGGUCAUACAAGCGAACACUUUGAGUAUGGUUCAAGGCGGGUAUACGGCUGAAAGUACAACCUCUGAGGCAAGCUGGCGGUUGUACAAUCGGUGAACUUAUCCGCAAGUUCAUUUUUUGUACCUAAGUUUACAUCUAUAAGUUACAUUAAUUACGGUGCUGCAGUUAGUGAGGUGGAAGUAAAUCUUUUGAAUGGAGAAACCAAAAUGUUGCAAAGAGACAUCAUAUAUGAUUGUAGACAGAGCUUGAAUCCUGCUGUGGAUUUGGGACAGGAAUGACAAAUGAAAUUAGAUUAUGCUCAGAUCUGGACAGGCGUUCGUUGACGAAGGUGGAAGCGGUGUGAUUACUGAUUCCUUUGAAUAGUUUACGGGGAGUAGCAACCUCAACCACUUUGAUAAGUGUUUGAUCAAACAGGUUUAAGGAAGCACACUUCUUGAGGGCAGUCACCCAAUUCUUGAAUCAUUAAAAGAGAUGAGUAAAAUAGAAUGUCCAAAGGUAUCUGAAAAUAUGAGGUUGAUGUUGGUUUUAAUGCCCCCGGUAGUGUGAAUAUUUUUAUACUGUUUUGUCAUCAUCACAAAGGAUGUGAUAAAUGAAUCUGAAGGUUACAUUAGGGAUAAUUUGAAGCGUAAAAAGACUACAACCUUCGUGUUUUUCAUAUUUUAAUACGUUUAUGUAUUGUAGCUACUUGGAAAUCAAGAAAUUAGUAAAAAGGCUACAACUUCGUGUUUUUCAUAUUUCAUAUUAAAUU